rnacentral:RNase_P_RNA from 1 species
UGAGUAAGCUGGGCAGCCGCAAUUUUAAAAAAAAUUGAGGAAAGUCCGGGCUCCACAGGGCAGGGUGCUGGAUAACAUCCAGUAAGGGUGACCUUAAGGAAAGUGCCACAGAAAACAGACCGCCUCCGCAUGCCGGAGGUAAGGAUGAAACGGUGCGGUAAGAGCGCACCAGCAGUCAGGUGACUGGCUGGCUUGGUAAACCCCACCCGGAGCAAGACCAAAUAGGAGGGAAUGAGGACGGCCCGUCCGCCCCUCGGGUAUGGUCGCUUGAGCUGCUAGGCAACUGGCGGUCUAGAUAGAUGGCUGCUGCCUCGGAAGGGGUACAGAACCCGGCUUAUACGCUUGCUCAGCUG